rnacentral:rRNA from 1 species
UACGUAGGGUGCGAGCGUUAAUCGGAAUUACUGGGCGUAAAGCGUGCGCAGGCGGUUUUGUAAGCCAGGUGUGAAAUCCCCGGGCUCAACCUGGGAAUGGCAUUUGGGACUGCAAGGCUGGAGUGCGGCAGAGGAGACUGGAAUUCCUGGUGUAGCAGUGAAAUGCGUAGAGAUGUGGAGGAACACCGAUGGCGAAGGCAGCCUCCUGGGCCAGCACUGACGCUCAUGCACGAAAGCGUGGGGAGCAAACAGG